GGCAUUUCAUCGAGUCCAAAGGGAGCUGACGAUGCAUCAUUAUAUUUAUGAUGGGCCAAAGCCGCGUCACCACACCCAGGUCAUCCAUUCAUUCUUGGGUUGAGUGAGUACCUGAUGGUGCCUAUGCAUGUGCGUGAAGAUCCGUGGACAACCUUCAGGACUCGCUCAUCCUCGGGUGGGUCCUGCAGAUGGAAAUCAGGUUGUCGGGCACAGCAGCAAGCUCCUUUACUGACAGAGACACCUGGCCAGCCCUGAAGCAGGUUCUUUUGUUUGUUUAUUAUCUGUUUUAUGCCUAUGAAUAGUACACCGUAGCUGUCUUCAGA
rnacentral:lncRNA from 1 species